rnacentral:rRNA from 1 species
CGGAGGAUCCAAGCGUUAUCCGGAAUCCAUUGGGUUUAAAGGGUCCGUAGGCGGUUUGGUAAGUCAGUGGUGAAAGCCCAUCGCUCAACGGUGAACGGCCAUUGAUACUGCCAGACUUGAAUUACUGGGAAGUAACUAGAAUAUGUAGUGUAGCGGUGAAAUGCUUAGAGAUUACAUGGAAUACCAAUUGCGAAGGCAGGUUACUACCGGUGGAUUGACGCUGAUGGACGAAAGCGUGGGUAGCGAACAGGAUUAGAUACCCUGGUAGUCCACGCCGUAAACGAUGGAUACUAGCUGUUGGUGGCAACAUCAGUGGCUAAGCGAAAGUGAUAAGUAUCCCACCUGGGGAGUACGUUCGCAAGAAUG